GAUGAACGCUGACAGAAUGCUUAACACAUGCAAGUCAACUUGAAUUUGGGUUUUUAACUUAGAUUUGGGUGGCGGACGGGUGAGUAACGCGUAAAGAACUUGCCUCACAGCUAGGGACAACAUUUAGAAAUGAAUGCUAAUACCUGAUAUUAUGAUUUUAAGGCAUCUUAGAAUUAUGAAAGCUAUAAGCACUGUGAGAGAGCUUUGCGUCCCAUUAGCUAGUUGGAGGGGUAACAGCUCACCAAGGCGAUGAUGGGUAGCCGGCCUGAGAGGGUGAACGGCCACAAGGGGACUGAGACACGGCCCUUACUCCUACGGGAGGCAGCAGUGGGGAAUAUUGGACAAUGGACCGAGAGUCUGAUCCAGCAAUUCUGUGUGCACGAUGAAGUUUUUCGGAAUGUAAAGUGCUUUCAGUUGGGAAGAAAGAAAUGACGGUACCAACAGAAGAAGUGACGGCUAAAUACGUGCCAGCAGCCGCGGUAAUACGUAUGUCACGAGCGUUAUCCGGAUUUAUUGGGCGUAAAGCGCGUCUAGGUGGUUAUGUAAGUCUGAUGUGAAAAUGCAGGGCUCAACUCUGUAUUGCGUUGGAAACUGUGUAACUAGAGUACUGGAGAGGUAAGCGGAACUACAAGUGUAGAGGUGAAAUUCGUAGAUAUUUGUAGGAAUGCCGAUGGGGAAGCCAGCUUACUGGACAGAUACUGACGCUAAAGCGCGAAAGCGUGGGUAGCAAACAGG
rnacentral:rRNA from 1 species